CCGAGUAAAACUUUGUCUUGCGGGAUAACGGACCGGGAAAGGGCGAAAACCGGCCAUGUAUAAAUCCAAGUCGUUUUCAAUCAGAAAAAAAUGGCAACCACCGCGGGACGGAACGCUGCACUAGCGAUAUUUGCAUGCGUGUACGUCUCCGGGGAUACGUCUGGUCAGCCUCCGGGACUUUUCGAUAUAUUAUAAAAACUGACCGAUACUGUACCGACAACGACGACGACGACGACGGCGCUCGGUUUUCUGACAGCUAUUUGACACGAAAAACAUUACGCGACACACGCCGGACACCCCGUUUUCGGAUUCGUAAUAUUCUGUACACGCGAUGGUAUUAUUUCGCACUGCGGCCCCUUUUCCCGGAAAAUGUUACAGUUUUGACGCACGUCGUCCCGGAC